CAAUAGGAGUUUGUGAAGGUGUCAUACAGGAAACUUAAACCUGUGCUGCCAUGAGGCACAUACUCUCGUGGCUUCAAGAUAGAGAAAUAAUAACAAAGAUGGAGAAAGGUGGAUUUUCAAGCAGGACAGAGUGCAAUGGAAUAGACUAUUCCUUUAUUUUACUGCUCAAACUUGUAAGAUCAAAGCCCUGCUGGAGAAAACAAGAAUUGCUAUUAUUUAUUUUCUAGUCCUUUUUAUUGCUCCUAUUCUAGGAAGAAAUGUUCAAAGUAGUAAAAAUCAAUACCCUCUCUGUCAGCUUGUACACCAGUGAAUGCUAAGAGCCAAGGGGAGCAAUAAAGCUGUGGAAAAAAUCUUUUACUUUUGUUUCAACUGAUUUUUUUUUAAUCUUUAAAGUGAACCAGCAGUGUUGAUCUCUAAUCCUGGAGUCUUCUACAAAAAUACUUGCUAAAAACUCUGAUACAUUUAUUAACAAUGUAUGCUGAAGGAUUUAGAAAUUAGAAUUCCUGUCACUCUUCUAGUGUCUUUGAAGCAGGGUUCUGGUGAUAGUCUGGUGGUAAUCCCAGAGAGAAAUCAGCUCUGAUGGAAUCUAUUUAUUUUUAUUUCUUGUACAAAACAGGCAGCACACUGCAAAAUGAGGGCCAAGGGCAGCAACUGCAGUACUGAUAGCAAUGCCUCACAUCUCUGCAGGUGAGGGAAGCCCAGCCACCCCAGGAUUUAGGCAGAAAACUUUCCAUGUCACCUUGGCAUUGUCACUUCUCCCAGUUUCAGUUAUGGCUAUCCAGUGGUACUUUUAGGCUUCAAAAACUUAAAAGAGUCAUUUAGACCCACUGAACUCAAUGAGACUACUGAUGUAACCAAAGUUAGACACAUGCUUAAUCUUUACUAGGUCAGAGCUUAAAAUACCAUUGUGAUCACUGUGUAGUAUCUUCAUGGAUAUUUUAAACAGACAUCUUAUGAGCUACACAAGGUCUUCUAUUAACUUGAAUAAAUUCUUUAGUUCACACUUUUUGUAUACAGGGCAUUUUUGCCUGAGUAACAGCUUAUAAGGUUUCUAAACCUCCCCAGUUUAUAUAGCUAUGUAAGUAGCAGAAUUAUGCCAAGAUGCAUUUUUCUGUGGUACUCAAUACACAGAGGAGGAUUUUGUGACACAAACAUAUGCUAUACUUGCUGAGGAUGCAUUCCUGAAAAGUGCCACAGUUGGUGAUUUUACAGAUGCAAAUCAAUUUUUUCCCCUAAGAAUUAUGCAAGGGCAGUGGAUGGGAUUUGUGCUUCAGAAUUAUGCACAGGUUAAAUACUGAGAGACAGUAUUUAACAAUGUAUGAUCCAAUUCAUAUCCCAAUAUCACUGCCUAAAAAUAAUUUAAAAAAUUUGUUAGGAAAUUUAAAGAAGUUUUUAAAUGAAACAGCAGUUGUGGUUGGGCACACUGGAGUUCAAAGAUGACAAGGAUGACAUGGAGGAUAACUACAUGGGAGCAGGACCAUCAGGACUGUCAACUUGGCACAUCAGUGCUUGAUAGGGACAGAAAAAGUGGGUAAAAUGAUAUUUUUCAGCAACUUGCUUCUCAGCACUUGGUUUUGCAGUAGCUGAAAAGGGCAAAGACUUUUUUUUUUAAUAAAAAUUUAUUACAUGACUACACCUUGGUCUGGGAUUUUGAGCAGUAUAUAUUUUUAUAACAUGAGAUCAAAUUUUGCAUUCCCCUGGUGGCUUUGUCCAACUGUUCUCAGAACAGACUGCUGGUCUGAAAGAUCUCAGUCACUUCAUCUAUUAGUCGGAGUAAUCUUGUUCUUUCUUUCUGAAUCAUUAUAUAUAUUUCUUUUAAUCAUCUUUGUCAUCUUAUUUCAGUCUCUCCCUCUUUGUCAAGGUCUGUCAAGUCAACCAAGAGAGAAGUACAAAAAACCUAAAAACUGAUUAGUGUAAGAUGAUGUAAAAUUAUGAACAGCAGAACUCCCAAAAGUUGCAUCAGGAAAAUAAAUGGUGUGUUAUUGUACAUUUCAUGAUUAUUUACUCGUAGGACAUGUAAAACAACUGCAUAAAGGGUGAAUGGUUUUGUUACUCCUUGUUAUUGGAAUUUCACUGUUAUUCCCAGAUAGAUGUUUUCACAGAACCUUCCUAAGGACAUUUUGGCAAAUUUUACCUACAGGGACAGAAAAAGUAAGCCUCAAUUUCAGUUUUUAUGAGAGUCAAUGAAGGGAGAAAAGGAGAUGACAAAAAAAGCAGUACUUCAGACGAAGCUCUUAAUUUGUUAGACAAGUCCUACAUCACUCCAUUAUCUCCAUCACCUAGCCACAAUACAGUUACAAUUUGUGAAGUGUACUUCCAGAACUGCUAUACUUCUACAUUAACCAUUUGAAAAAUCAGAUAUUGAGCACUUAUGAAAAGCUGACCUUCCCCCAACUGUUUCCCACAUGCAUUUUUCUGACCUUUGUUUCAUGCAUACAUUCAUCUGACUGGACCUUAUGCCACAGUUGGCCUUCUUGGUGGAACAUGGUUAGGUUUCUUUCCCAAAACCUUACUUUUUUUUCUUGGCUUCCAUCCUGAUUUACAUAAAUUCUCAUUCACCCAAGACCAUAAAAUAUAAGUCCAACUUAAAUAAAAUCAAAACAAUUCCUAAUAUUCUGUGUCUCUGAUGUUUGGUGAUCAGUUUGAAUUUGCUAUACAGACUAAAAGUUGUAUUCAUUAACCUGGAAAGCCUUAUUUGAUAACCUUCAAACCAAAAAUGUGUAUCACAAGAAUGACUGAAUCUAUAAGCUGUUAAAUUUCCACACAGAGAAAUAAAUAAUUGCAGCCCAUUUUUAUUAUCCCCUUAGACAAUAAUAUCAGUGUCUGUCUGAUUGCUAAGUAGGAUUGACUACUGGCUAGUUUUAAUUUCAAGCACGUUGCUAUGGUGAAGAUUAUCAUAGACUGCAUACAAAAAUGAAACACAGAAGGAUCACUGAAAAAACCAUCCCGACAAAGACAUGUAAUAAUAACUGAAUAAAAGCCUAUUUCUUGGUAGGUGCCAUUAAGCAGUCAUAUUUUUCUGACCAUAUUUUGCUGCUGACCUGUCCAGAAAUAUAUUUGGAAUUGUGAACUUUACUGUUUCAAUUUUCUUGAUAAAAUAUUUCUAACAAAUACAUUAUCAAAUACAAAUGCUUUCUAACAAAGCAUUAGCAUUUUCUUUAGAUGUCCCAUUAGGUCAAGGGCUGUAUUGUGUGCUGGCACUGCAGUUCCUACCUCUUUGGCCACUUCUAUUCACACCCAGUUAGCUCUCCUGGACUGUAAUGCUUCAGUCAUAAGAUUAACACCCCACAGAGAGAUGGGAAUAUUUUGCAGAGCUCAGGCUAGAAAAAGCCAAACAAAGGGCCCUUAUCUGUAGGUGCCUGUGUGGGUAGGCUGCCACAACUCCAAUGUAAUUCAUAACACUGGAUAUUUGUAUUGCACAUGUUCAGCAGAACUUGAAGCCCAAAGGGCAAAAUAUAUUCUUGAUAAUCCUAGGAAUUUAUAAAAUGUUCCUCAGAUAUUCCAGUAAGGUCUGGAAUUUAGUUUAGAAGCUUUAUUUUAAAGACAAACACUUUAUAAUCUCUCCCCUAAAAGGAUUCUCCCUAUUGGACAACAAUGCUUUGAAGGGAGAAGCAAAACAUUAGUGCUAAUCUUUCAUUAACCUCUCUUGCUGUUACUUCUGAAGUGCCAGAUCUGAGUUUCAUCUGAACUUCAUUUCUGCCUGAGAUACAAAUCCUUUCCACCCUCUCAAUGGGUCCAUUUUCUUUUAUGAUGUCUUUCCAGUGGUUUCUUCAUAUAUUUUUUGAGUGGCAUGGGUAUUAUUGGGCAGUCACUAAAGUUCAAGACCUAAUUCCAACAAUCUUCUUGGAAGCAUGUUUGAGUCCAGAUGAUUCAACCUUUUUUUUGGUCAGAAAACUCCUCUCUUUAAAUGGGAAUAUUGCCUGUAAAAAAGAAAUGGGCUCCAAAUGUUCUUGUAAGAAGGAGGUCUUGUGAAGGCAUCUAUUCCAUAGUAGCAGAAGUGAAUAACAUUGAAAAUCACAGUUUUCCUCCUAGCAGAACCUCUGGAGCUUUGGAUGAUGAUCAGGAAUAUUUGGGACAGAAUCAUCUGAACAGAAGUCACAAAAGCAAAUUUUUCUGGCAAUGUUCCAGUAACAGAAACAAG
rnacentral:lncRNA from 1 species